ensembl:lncRNA
CUUGGGGAAUAGGGAAAGGGCAAUUAAAACUAAACUCUGACUCGGCCCUCCAGAUGGGCUAUGGCCGGGAAGAGGUCAGGGAGCAAGGGGGCCACGGGGAUCCGGGGCGUGGGACUCGGGCCCCGGCCUGAGUCUUAGGUAUCCGUAGCGCCCUCCUUCUUCCUCCUCUUCGCUGAAUACAGCUCACGGUAAGUACUGGUUCACACAGUUCGUUCUCGAGGUGCUCACUCUCUUUCUCUUUCUCCACAGGCAACGGCUGGGACACACAGGCACAGUUAGUUCAGCUUGGUUUUGCUCUCACCUCUUCGCUGAUUACAGCUCACAGUAAGUACUGGUUUCCUCUGUUUCUCCUUGUGUUACUCACUCUCUCUUUCCUUUUCUCUCCACAGAUAUCAACUUGGGCACAAUAGCACAGUUAGUUUGCUUUGAAUGGCUCUCACCUCUGGGCUGAACACAGCGUACUGUAAGUACAGGUUCCCUCUGGUUCUCCUUGUGUUACUCACUCUCUCUUUCCUUUCCUCUCCACAGGUAUCAACUUGGACACAAAGCACAGUUACUCUGCUUUGGAUGGCUUUCACCUCUGGGCUGGACACAGCGUACCGUGCUAUCUCCGGAGAUCUGAAGCACGCCCACAACAUAUACUGUACUGAACUAGGCUAGGACCAGCAGUCUCCUUGUCCUCCCGCGACGAAGUGCGUGAAGGCGGGGGUUUAUCUGACAGGACACACGGCAAUACACAGCAGCCCACAGCAAUAUACAACACCACGUCAAAAUUAUAGGUUUUCACAGCACGAAGACUCACCCACCACACUCAGUGUACGAAAAGGACACCCGUCUUCCUUCACUUCGCUUGGUUCGGAUCUGGCGAUGGAAUAUGCGGCCUAGCUAGUGAUGUCGUCGUUGUGACUACUUCAAUAAGUAUUCCUUCGGCUCUCCCACCACGCUAUAUUAGGGGGUAGGGCCGCCCUCCUCCUCCUGGAGAGAUCUACACAACGCCAGGUCAAUAUACAGGGCACUUUCGACUGGUUCUUAGUACUCACAUCAAUGCCGCUUCCAAUCCCCUUUUUCACGUCGUCUCAGUUCGCCGUAUAAUCCGUUCACUUCUCAACCUUUAAGGUUCGCGAUGUCUUCACAAUCAUACAAUUCCAGCCUGAGGGGGAGAGAGAGUUAGACAGCCACCAGCAGCGCACCAAGACGGGCACAACACAGUGCUUCACACACACC